rnacentral:rRNA from 1 species
GAUGAACGCUAGCGGCAGGCCUAAUACAUGCAAGUCGGACGGGAUUCAGGAGCUUUCUUCUGAUGAGAGUGGCGCACGGGUGCGUAACACGUAUGUAACCUACCUUUAUCAGGGGGAUAGCCCCUCGAAAGAGAGAUUAAGCCCGCAUAAAAUCACAGCACAGCAUUGUGUAAUGAUCAAAUAUUUAUAGGAUAAAGAUGGGCAUGCGGGACAUUAGCUAGAUGGCGGGGUAACGGCCCACCAUGGCGACGAUGUUUAGGGGAUCUGAGAGGAGGGCCCCCCACACUGGUACUGAGACACGGACCAGACUCCUACGGGAGGCAGCAGUAAGGAAUAUAGGUCAAUGGGCGGAAGCCUGAACCAGCCAUGCCGCGUGCAGGAAGACGGCCCUACGGGUUGUAAACUGCUUGUAUACGGGAAUAAACCCAGAUACGUGUAUCUGGCUGAAUGUACUGUAAGAAUAAGGAUCGGCUAACUCCGUG